UACGUAGGUGGCAAGCGUUGUUCGGAAUUAUUGGGCGUAAAGGGCGCGUAGGCGGUUUGUUAAGUCGGCUGUGAAAGCCCGGGGCUCAACCCCGGAGGGUCAGCCGAUACUGGCAGACUAGAGUACGGAAGAGGUAGCUGGAAUUCCCGGUGUAGCGGUGAAAUGCGUAGAUAUCAAGAGGAACACCUGCGGCGAAGGCGGGUUGCUGGGCCGACACUGACGCUGAGGCGCAAAAGCUAGGGGAGCGAACGGG
rnacentral:rRNA from 1 species